rnacentral:tRNA from 1 species
GAGGACUUAGGAUAAUUGAUUAAACCAAUGGCCUUCAAAGCCGCAAAUGAGAGCUAGAGUCUCCCAGCCCUCG